GGGGGGGGGGGGGGGGGGGGCGGGUGCGGGGGGGUAGGGGGCGGGGGGUAGGGAGGAGCUUGCUACCCCAUGGAGUGGGGGUUGCGACGGGGUGAGUAACGCGUCGGUAACCUGCCUGGUAGCUGGGGAUAACGAGUGGGAACGCUCGCUGAUACCGCAUAGUAUUACUGCUUGCGUGCUACAUAAUUGAAAGCUGCACUUGCACCACAGCAAGAUGACCCUUCGUUCUAUUAGUGGGUAGGUGAGGUAACGGCUUACCUAGGCGACGAUACAUAGACGCCCUGAGAGGGUGAUCGGCCACACUGGGACUGAGACACGGCCCAGACUCCUACGGGAGGCAGCAGUAGGGAAUCUUCGGCAAUGGACGAAAGUCUGACCGAGCAACGCCGCGUGAGUGAAGAAGGUUUUCGGAUCGUAAAGCUCUGUUGUAAGAGAAGAACGGGUGUGAGAGUGGAAAGUUCACACUGUGACGGUAGCUUACCAGAAAGGGACGGCUAACUACGUG
rnacentral:rRNA from 1 species